UACGUAGGGUGCGAGCGUUUGUCCGGAAUCAUUGGGCGUAAAGCGCGCGUAGGCGGCCAGAUAAGUCCGGUGUGAAAGUCACAGGCUCAACCUGUGAAUGCCGCUGGAAACUGUCUGGCUAGAGUCCGGAAGGGGCGAGUGGAAUUCCUGGUGUAGCGGUGAAAUGCGCAGAUAUCAGGAGGAACACCAAUGGCGAAGGCAGCUCGCUGGAACGGUACUGACGCUGGAGG
rnacentral:rRNA from 1 species